AGUGGGUCAAGAUUAAGUAUAGUCUAUUUAGUUAAUCCCAAUAAUUUAUUUUUAAUGAAAUGUAGAUUUUAAAAAAUUUCAACUUAUUAUGUAAUAUAGGUUACAAAAUAAAAUAUAUUUCACAUAAAAUUAUGUAUUUUUCAUCAAUUUAAUAAUUUCACUCCGUGUUUUUGCGCGGGUUUUAACCUUGUUUAUAUAGUAAAAUGAUAUCAGACUCUGCCGUACUGCCGUGUUCAACAAAUGGAUCAAACAAAAUAAACACAAUUAGUCCCCAAAAAAAGCGGAAUAGAGAUCGAAUGAGAAUAUUUUUUUAAUUUUAUGCGAUGGAAGACAGAAUAAUUAUCAAAAUUUUGACUAAUUGAUUUAUUAUGCUAACAGAGUGGUAUUAAUGAAAGUGUUGAGAAGAAAUUGCUUCACCUUUUCAAAACUUUUCUUUAUUUAAACUCAAGUAACUUAGAUGUUAUGCGAUCCAAGACAAUCAAAUUAGUUGAAAU
rnacentral:lncRNA from 1 species